CUCGCGUUUUUUUCGAGGUCGGCCGCGUGGCUGGAAGUCAUGGCCGCUCCCGUCGGUGUUGAGCACGGCGAGCAGCCUCAGGCCUUUAAUGAUGAUGAGGCCUUUCUUUGUUUGGCAUCUGCAGAGACGGGGAAAAGCAGAGCGCCAGGUUGAAGGACCAGAGUAAUGGAUGGAGCCCUAACAUGAGUAAGAGUGGGUGCAGGCAGGGCCUGAGUGGUCACUAGAAAUGAGAAAGCACAGUUGGUGCCAUCACAUACAUUCACCUCCUGCUUUAUUCUGAAGUUCAAGUGUGAGAAUACGUGUUGACAUACAAGCCAGCUAUGAUUGAAGGUGUUGGCUGUGGCCUUGAAAACAGUCAUGUGAAAACUCAUCACCUUAAGAUAUUAAGUGUAAGGAUCUUCAUGAUGAAGUUUCUGUAAAUGGUGCAGUCAGCCUCAGUUUCCAAAGCCGGAAAAGGAUCUUCUAGUAGCCACGGUGUGGCAGCUGCCCUGAACCAGGACCUGGACCCCGGACCCAAAGUGCCAUGUCUUUAAUGCAUGUUAGCUCCCAGCGAUGCCAGAUGGGAUCAGCACAGCCCUGCCUCUGCUGCUAAUUGUUCUUCUUCUUUUUAUUUUUUUAUUUUUAUUUUUUUUUUUUUUUGAGACGGAGUCUCGCUCUGUCGCCCAGGCUGGAGUGCAGUGGCGCGAUCUCGGCUCACUGCAAGCUCCGCCUCCUGGGUUCACGCCAUUCUCCUGCCUCAGCCUCUCUGAGUAGCUGGGACUACAGGCGCCCGCCACCACGCCCGGCUAAUUUUUUGUAUUUUUAGUAGAGACGGGGUUUCACUGUGGUCUCGAUCUCCUGACCUCGUGAUCCACCCGCCUCGGCCUCCCAAAGUGCUGGGAUUACAAGCGUGAGCCACCGCGCCCGGCUUCUUUUUAUUUUUUUGAGACGGAGUCUCGCUCUGUCGCCCAGGCUGGAGUGCAGUGGCGCAAUCUCGGCUCACUGCAAGCUCCGCCUCUCGGGUUCACGCCAUUCUCCUGCUUCAGCCUCUCCGAGUAGCUGGGACUACAGGCGCCUGCCACCACGCCCGGCUAAUUUUUUGUGUUUUUUUUAGUAGAGAUGGGGUUUCACCGUGGUCUCGAUCUCCUGACCUCGUGAUCCGCCCGCCUCAGCCUCCCAAAGUGCGGGGAUUACAAGCGUGAGCCACCGCGCCCGGGCCCUAAUUAUUCUUCUAAAGUGAUCGCCAUGCGUUCUUCGGGCUUCACCUUUAAAGGAAUGAAGCAACUGAGAUUAUUCUGGAAAACCUUUUGGCAGUUAGUGAAAUUAGAGUACAACUAAGAACAUUUUCAGACCUCCACUGUGGAUGUUCUGGGUAUAAUCUCACAAAUCGCUGGGACUGCAAGGAUUGUAAACUGAAAUGAACAUGAUUAUACUCUGCUGGAAGCGCCUAAGAGGAAACUGAUGCCAUGAGUUUCAGAGAGUAAUGCUUAAAACCCCAGUUACACAGGAUGCCGUCUUGUGUUUUCUCUUUUUUAGUUACCCACUACAUUGAUUUUGUGAUCUGCUAAUGGGUUGCCACCCACAACCAUUGCUUUAGCACUUUUACUUCAAAUCAAUGAAGGAUUGAUAAAAGUUCUCCUGGUGUCUCCGCAGAGUGGCUUCCAGGAACAGAUCUUUGCAUCGAAUAUCAGUGAUUUCCUUUUUUGUUUCAAAUAGUGGUCAGAAAACACCCAGUGUUGACUCACCAAGGCAAUCAGCUUCCUCUCCCCCCCCCCUUUUUUUUUUACAUUUUAUGUUUUUGCUUUAUUUUAUUCUAUUUUGUUUAUUUUUUGAGACGGAGUUCCACUCUGUCGCCAGGCUGGAGUGAAGUGGUACAAUCUUGGCUCACUGCAACCUCUGCCUCCCGGGUUCAAGCAAUUCUCCUGGCUCAGCCUCCCGAAUGCUGGGACUACAGGCGCGUACCUUCUUUAGUAGAGACUGGGUUUCACCAUGUUGGCCAGGAUGGUCUCUAUCUCCUGACCUCGUGAUCUGCCCGCCUCAGCCUCCCAAAGUGCUGGGAUUACAGGCAUGAGCCAUCACACCCAGCCUUUUUUUUUUUUUUUUAAUUUAAAUUUUUUUCAUUUUUUUGAGAGAUUUUUUUUUUUUUUUUUUUUUUGAGAUAGUCUUGCUCUGUCACCCAGGCUGGGAGUGCAGUGGCAUGAUCUCUGCAACCUCUACCUCCCAGGUUCAAGCAAUUCUUGUGCCUCAGCCUCCCAAGUAACUGGGACUACAGGUGCACGCCACCACACCUGGCUAAUUUUUUAUGUUUUAGUAGAGACAGGGUUUCAACCAUGUUGCCCAGGUUGGUCUCAAACUCGUGAGCUCAGGCAAUCCACCCACCUUGGCCUCCCAAAGUGCUAGGAUUACAGGUGUGAGCCACCACACCCAGCUAGUUUUUCUUUUGUUUUUUAAUUUUAAAGUUGGGGUCUCAAUUUGUUACCCUGGCUGGUCUCGAACUCCUGGACUUAAGCGAUCCUCUGGCUCCAAGCCCACUACCAGUCUCAGGUUUCUUUACUAAAAGAUCACUUCCUUUUUUUCUCUUAUCUGCUGCCAUGUGAGACGUGGCUUUCACCUUCUGCCAUGAUUGUGAGGCCUUCCCAGCCAUGUGGAGCUGUAAGUCCAAUAAACCUCUUUUGUAAAUUAAAAAAAAAAAA